GCGCAGGCGGUUUCUUAAGUCUGAUGUGAAAGCCCCCGGCUCAACCGGGGAGGGUCAUUGGAAACUGGGAAACUUGAGUGCAGAAGAGGAGAGUGGAAUUCCAUGUGUAGCGGUGAAAUGCGUAGAUAUAUGGAGGAACACCAGUGGCGAAGGCGGCUCUCUGGUCUGUAACUGACGCUGAUGCUCGAAAGCGUGGGGAGCAAACAGGAUUAGAUA
rnacentral:rRNA from 1 species